rnacentral:lncRNA from 1 species
UUACCAACAACAACAACAAACCCAGUGUAUUCCCACCUAGUGGGGUCUGGGGGGGUAAGAUGUACGCAGUCCAUACCUCUACCUCCAAAGAAGUAGAAAGGCUAUUUCCGAUAGACCCCCGGCUCAAGUCACGAGAUACCACACAAACUCAUAGUAAAGCACAGAACUAGAUUACAUAACAUACAUACUGCACCCAUAAGUAUUAGAAAACAGAGGAAAGCACACAGAUUCGUAAUAAAACAUGGAACACGGAAUCAUAACAAGAAUAAAACCCCCACCAAGUAAUUCCC